rnacentral:ncRNA from 1 species
CUUUCUUAGGGUUUCAAGUAAUUCAACUAGUGCCAAGAAAAAUAUCUGGUUGUAGGGCGGGGCAGUGAAGAAAGUUGGCACAAUAAGUAAUUCCUAGGGUAUCAGUGGCAGAGAGGGGGAUCACUCGAUGCUGCUUUAGGCGCUCAUUAGUUAGGAUAUCCCAGACUCCUACGGGAGGCAACAUUGAGGAAUUUUCUGCAAUGGGCAAAAGCUUUACAGAGCAAUGUCGUGUGAAGGUAGAGGGCCCAAGGGCCGUGAACUUCUUUUCCCGGAGAAGAAGCAAUGACAGUAUCUAGAAAUAAGCAUUGGCUAACUCUGUGCCAGUAGUUAUGGUAAUACAUGUAAGCGUUAUUUGGAAUGAUCGAGUGUUGAAGCGUCUACAAGUGGAAUUUAAGUUCACUGGCAAACCUUGGUGCUCAACCCCUAACAGGUGGUGGAAACUACCAAGUUGGAGUACUAGGAGUAGAAGGACUUCCUGGUGGAGCAGUGAAAUGCCUAGAGAUCGGAAAGAACACCAACGAUGAAAGCACUCUACAAUCUCUACUUGGCUAUCACUGACACUGAUAAAAGUAAGUUAGGGGAACGAAUGAGAUUAUAUUCUCUAGUAGGCAUAAUGCGUAUCGACCCAUGCAAUGUGUAGUUAUAAUGUGUCUUGAUGCAUAUUCUGCGAUUGAGGUCAGACCUCAACCUCUUGAUUU